GUGUCAGCAGCCGCGGUAAUACGAAGGGGGCUAGCGUUGCUCGGAAUUACUGGGCGUAAAGGGAGCGUAGGCGGGUCGUCAAGUUGGGGGUGAAAGCCCAGGGCUCAACCCUGGAACUGCCUUCAAAACUGGCGACCUAGAGUAUGGUAGAGGUGUGUGGAACUCCGAGUGUAGAGGUGAAAUUCGUAGAUAUUCGGAAGAACACCAGUGGCGAAGGCGACACACUGGGCCAUUACUGACGCUGAGGCUCGAAAGCGUGGGGAGCAAACAGGAUUAGAAACCCUCGUAGUCC
rnacentral:rRNA from 1 species